rnacentral:rRNA from 1 species
AACGAACGAUGGCGGCAUGACUAACACAUGCAAGUAGGACGAAGGCUUCGGCCUUAGUGGCGCACGGGUGCGUAACGCGUGGGAAUCUGCCCUUGGGUACGGAAUAACUCCUCGAAAGGGGUGCUAAUACCGUAUGAUGUCGCAAGACCAAAGAUUUAUCGCCCAGGGAUGAGCCCGCGUAGGAUUAGCUAGUUGGUGGGGUAAAGGCUCACCAAGGCGACGAUCCUUAGCUGGUCUGAGAGGAUGAUCAGCCACACUGGGACUGAGACACGGCCCAGACUCCUACGGGAGGCAGCAGUGGGGAAUAUUGGACAAUGGGCGAAAGCCUGAUCCAGCAAUGCCGCGUGAGUGAUGAAGGCCUUAGGGUUGUAAAGCUCUUUUACCCGGGAAGAUAAUGACUGUACCGGGAGAAUAAGCCCCGGCUAACUCCGUGCCAGCCGCCGCGGUAAAAC